rnacentral:rRNA from 1 species
UACGUAGGUGGCAAGCGUUGUCCGGAUUUACUGGGCGUAAAGAGCGCGCAGGCGGUCGUUCAAGUCGCGUGUGAAAGCCCCCGGCUCAACUGGGGAGGGUCACGCGAUACUGAUCGACUCGAAGGCAGGAGAGGGAAGUGGAAUUCCCAGUGUAGAGGUGAAAUGCGUAGAUAUCGUGAGGAAGACCAGUGGCGAAGGCGGAUCUCUGGACAGCUCCUGACGCUGAGGCGCGAAGGCUAGGGGAGCAAACGGG